CGAUAAUUACGCAUUUAGUUAGUAUAUAGCAGGUAGUAGAAGGUGACCGCUGAGCUCAAACAAACUAGCAAAGCUCUUUAAAUAACAUUUGUAACGGACUGUUUCAGCACACAAGGGGUUAAAACCGUUUAGGCGAUCGUCCCCUUUCCGAGAUGCAGGCACAGCUACUGUAGAACACCAAACUCACGAACUGCAUGUCAGGGAAUGCUCC